UGAACGCUGGCGGCGUGCCUAAUACAUGCAAGUCGAGCGACCAGACGCGGAGCUUGCUCCUCUGACGUUAGCGGCGGACGGGUGAGUAACACGUGGAUAACCUACCUAUAAGACUGGGAUAACUUCGGGAAACCGGAGCUAAUACCGGAUAAUAUAUUGAACCGCAUGGUUCACUAGUGAAAGACGGUUUUGCUGUCACUUAUAGAUGGAUCCGCGCCGCAUUAGCUAGUUGGUAAGGUAACGGCUUACCAAGGCAACGAUGCGUAGCCGACCUGAGAGGGUGAUCGGCCACACUGGAACUGAGACACGGUCCAGACUCCUACGGGAGGCAGCAGUAGGGAAUCUUCCGCAAUGGGCGAAAGCCUGACGGAGCAACGCCGCGUGAGUGAUGAAGGUCUUCGGAUCGUAAAACUCUGUUAUUAGGGAAGAACAAAUGUGUAAGUAACUAUGCACGUCUUGACGGUACCUAAUCAGAAAGCCACGGCUAACUACGUG
rnacentral:rRNA from 1 species